rnacentral:rRNA from 1 species
UACGUAGGGUCCGAGCGUGUCCGGAUUUAUUGGGCGUAAAGAGCUCGUAGGCGGCUCAGUAAGUCAGAUGUGAAAACUCAGGGCUCAACCCGGAGACGCCAUCUGAUACUGCUGUGGCUUGAGUCUGGUAGGGGAUCACGAAUUCCUGGUGUAGCGGUGAAAUGCGCAGAUAUCAGGAGGAACACCGGUGGCGAAGGCGGGUCUCUGGGCCGAUACUGACGCUGGAGGAGCGAAAGCGUGGGGAGCGAACAGG